rnacentral:rRNA from 1 species
CCUACGGGAGGCAGCAGUGGGGAAUAUUGCACAAUGGGGGAAACCCUGAUGCAGCGACGCCGCGUGAGUGAAGAAGUAUUUCGGUACGUAAAGCUCUAUCAGCAGGGAAGAAAAAAAGUCCUUUGGACUUUGGACGGUACCUGACCAAGAAGCCCCGGCUAACUACGUGCCAGCAGCCGCGGUAAUACGUAGGGGGCAAGCGUUAUCCGGAUUUACUGGGGGUAAAGGGAGCGUAGACGGCAGCGCAAGUCUGGAGUGAAAGGCCGGGGCCCAACCCCGGAACUGCUUUGGAAACGGGGCAGCUGGAGUGCAGGAGAGGUAAGCGGAAUUGCUAGUGUAGCGGUGAAAUGCGUAGAUAUUAGGAGGAGCACCAGGGGCGAGGGCGGCUUACUGGACUGUAACUGACGUUGAGGCUCGAAAGGGUGGGGAGCAAACAGGAUUAGAUACCCGUGUAGUC